GAUGAACGCUGGCGGCGUGCCUAAUACAUGCAAGUCGAACGAGUUCUGAUUAUUGAAAGGUGCUUGCAUCUUGAUUUAAUUUUGAACGAGUGGCGGACGGGUGAGUAACACGUGGGUAACCUGCCCUUAAGUGGGGGAUAACAUUUGGAAACAGAUGCUAAUACCGCAUAAAUCCAAGAACCGCAUGGUUCUUGGCUGAAAGAUGGCGUAAGCUAUCGCUUUUGGAUGGACCCGCGGCGUAUUAGCUAGUUGGUGAGGUAACGGCUCACCAAGGCAAUGAUACGUAGCCGAACUGAGAGGUUGAUUGGCCACAUUGGGACUGAGACACGGCCCAAACUCCUACGGGAGGCAGCAGUAGGGAAUCUUCCACAAUGGACGCAAGUCUGAUGGAGCAACGCCGCGUGAGUGUAGAAGGCUUUCGGGUCGUAAAACUCUGUUGUUGGAGAAGAAUGGUCGGCAGAGUAACUGUUGUCGGCGUGACGGUAUCCAACCAGAAAGCCACGGCUAACUACGUGCCAGCAGCCGCGGUAAUACGUAGGUGGCAAGCGUUAUCCGGAUUUAUUGGGCGUAAAGCGAGCGCAGGCGGUUUUUUAAGUCUGAUGUGAAAGCCCUCGGCUUAACCGAGGAAGUGCAUCGGAAACUGGGAAACUUGAGUGCAGAAGAGGACAGUGGAACUCCAUGUGUAGCGGUGAAAUGCGUAGAUAUAUGGAAGAACACCAGUGGCGAAGGCGGCUGUCUGGUCUGUAACUGACGCUGAGGCUCGAAAGCAUGGGUAGCGAACAGG
rnacentral:rRNA from 2 species